rnacentral:rRNA from 1 species
UACGUAGGGUGCGAGCGUUGUCCGGAUUUAUUGGGCGUAAAGGGCUCGUAGGCGGCGUGUCGCGUCGGGAGUGAAAGACCGGGGCUUAACCCCGGUUCUGCUUCCGGUACGGGCAUGCUGGAGUGUGGCAGAGGGGGGUGGAAUUCCGCGUGUAGCAGUGAAAUGCGUAGAGAUGCGGAGGAACACCGAUGGCGAAGGCAGCCCCCUGGGCUAACACUGACGCUCAGGCACGAAAGCGUGGGGAGCAAGCAGG